UCAAGUGACUAAGUGUAUGUGGUGGAUGCCUUGGCGAUCACAGGCGAUGAAGGACGUAGUAGCUUGCGAUAAGCUGCGGGGAGCCGGCAAACGGGCAUUGAUCCGCAGAUUUCCGAAUGGGGGAACCCACCGACGUAGGUCGGUAUCACGCACUGAAUACAUAGGUGCGUGAGGCGAACGGAGCGAACUGAAACAUCUAAGUAGCUCCAGGAAAAGAAAUCAACCGAGAUUGCGAAAGUAGCGGCGAGCGAAAUUGCAGCAGCCCAGUGUUCUGAUAGCACGAACGACAGCAGAAGGGUCUGGAAAGGCCUGCUAUAGAGGGUGAUAGCCCCGUAUGCGAAAUCGAACGUGUGGUACUAAGGAACCGAUAAGUAGGGCGGGACACGUGACAUCCUGUCUGAAGAUGGGGGGACCAUCCUCCAAGGCUAAAUACUCGUGAUCGACCGAUAGUGAACCAGUACUGUGAAGGAAAGGUGAAAAGAACCCCGGGAGGGGAGUGAAAUAGAACCUGAAACCGCAUACAUACAAACAGUAGGAGCCCCUGCAGUGGGGUGACUGCGUACCUUUUGCAUAAUGGGUCAGCGACUUACGUUUUGUGGCGAGCUUAACCGAGUAGGGGAGGCGUAGCGAAAGCGAGUUCGAAUAGAGCGAAGAGUCUCAAGGCGUAGACCCGAAACCAGAUGAGCUAUCCAUGGCCAGGUUGAAGGUGUGGUAACACACACUGGAGGACCGAACCGACUAGUGUUGCAAAAUUAGCGGAUGAGCUGUGGAUAGGGGUGAAAGGCUAAACAAAUCUGGAGAUAGCUGGUUCUCCCCGAAAACUAUUGAGGUAGUGCCUCGUGUAUGACUCCAGGGGGUAGAGCACUGUUAUGGCUAGGGGGACAUGGCGUCUUACCAAACCAUGGCAAACUCCGAAUACUUGGAAGUUUGAGCACGGGAGACAGAGCACCGGGUGCUAACGUCCGGACUCAAAAGGGAAACAACCCAGACCGCCGGCUAAGGUCCCUAAUAUUGACUAAGUGGAAAACGAAGUGGGAAGGCUAAGACAGUCAGGAAGUUGGCUUAGAAGCAGCCAUCCUUCAAAGAAAGCGUAAUAGCUCACUGAUCGAGUCCUCAUGCGCGGAAGAUGUAACGGGGCUAAGUCAAUAACCGAAAGCGCGGAUUUGCAUGAAAGUGCAAGUGGUAGGGGAGCGUUCUGUAAGCCUGCGAAGGUGGUUCGAGAGGACUGCUGGAGGUAUCAGAAGUGCGAAUGCUGACAUGAGUAACGUUAAAGCAGGUGAAAAGCCUGCUCGCCGUAAGCCCAAGGUUUCCUGCUCUACGUUCAUCGGAGCAGGGUGAGUCGGCCCCUAAGGCCAGGCUGAGAAGCGUAGUCGAUGGGAAGCAGAUUAAUAUUUCUGCACCAUGUGCAAGUGCGAUGGGGGGACGGAGUGCGAAAGAUCAUCCGGGUGUUGGAUGUCCCGGUUUGUGAGUGUAGAAGGCCGACAGGCAAAUCCGUCGGCGGAUCUUCGAGACAAAGCAUCGAGGUUCUACGGAACCGAAGUGAUCGGAAGUGCUUCCAGGAAAAGCCUCUAAGCGUCAGCUUGGCGGGACCGUACCGCAAACCGACACUGGUGGGCGAGUUGAAUAUACUCAGGCGCUUGAGAGAACUCGGGAGAAGGAACUCGGCAAAUUGACACCGUAACUUCGGGAUAAGGUGUGCCUUUGUAGCGUGAAGAGAGAAACACUCGGAGCGUGAAGAGGCCUCAGAGAAUCGGUGGCUGCAACUGUUUAUUAAAAACACAGCACUCUGCAAAGACGAAAGUCGACGUAUAGGGUGUGAUGCCUGCCCGGUGCUGGAAGAUUAAUUGAUGGGGUGCAAGCUCCUGAUCGAAGUCCCAGUAAACGGCGGCCGUAACUAUAACGGUCCUAAGGUAGCGAAAUUCCUUGUC
rnacentral:rRNA from 1 species